rnacentral:lncRNA from 1 species
UGGUUCAGUGCCCUUUGACUCUGUAGUGUGCUGUUUGUUGUUCCUCGAUAGGCAGAAGUCAGUGGCUACCUUCCUGAUGGAGACUUGAACAAACUGUUAAGUGGUGAGCUGGGAGGAGACCUGAUGGGGCGGGGCCCCGAGCACUGCAGUGUCCAAGCCAGAGACUGAUAAAGGACUAAAGGAGAAGGCUACUACGUCACUGCACUGUUUUUCUUAAGAUUGUGUUGUUUUGUUGAGAUGGUGUCUCAUGCGGCCCAGGCUGAUGGUGAACUCCAUAGAUUGCGGAGGAUCACGGCCUUGAACUUCUGACAUUCUUGCCUCUGCUGUUGCAAUUGUAGCUUGGGGCCACCGUGCCAGGUUUGCAGUGCUGGAGAUCAACCCCUAGGCUCCCAGUGUCGCAGGGAAGCUUCCACCAACUGAGCCACACACCCAGCCUUCAGGAGGUUGUUUUGCUUGUCCCAUCUCACUGCACUCACCACAUACCUAGGUGGCAACACUCUGCUACAGGCCUUCUUCCCCUGCUCCCUGGUUCUGAGAUUUGACCGAUGUACAGAUUGUAGGGUGACCAUCAAGAUAAACAUGUGGGACAGUUUCAUUGUCC